AAAAACAUGUCCUUUUGUCUUAAAUAUAAGGUCUAACCUGCCCUAUGAUUAAUUUUAAAUGGCCGCGGUAUAUUAACUGUGCUAAGGUAGCAUAAUCACUUGUCUUUUAAUUAAAGGCUAGAAUGAAUGGUUGAACGAGGUAUAAUCUUUCUUUAAUUUAAUUUAUGAAUUUAAUUUUUUAGUUAAAAGGCUAAAAUAAACUUGAGGGACGAGAAGACCCUAUAGAUCUUUAUAUUUUUAAUUUUUAUUUAUUUUAGUAGUAUAAUUUAUUAUAAUAAUUAAAUUUAUUUAGUUGGGGUGACUGUAGAAUAAAAUUAACUUCUAUUUUUAAUUUUCAUUAAUUAGUGUAUGUUUGAUCCAAUUAUUUUGAUUAUAAAAUUAAGUUACCUUAGGGAUAACAGCGUAAUUCUUUCGGAGAGAUCAAAUCGAUGAAAGGGUUUGCGACCUCGAUGUUGGAUUAAAAUAAGUUUUGGGUGCAGGAGCUUAAAAACUAGGUCUGUUCGACCUUUAAUUUUUUACAUGAUCUGAGUU
rnacentral:rRNA from 1 species